rnacentral:rRNA from 1 species
GGAGUUAGCCGGUGCUUCUUCUGUGAGUGAUGUCCUUCCUGCCGGCUAUUAACCCGCAGGCCUUCUUCCUCACUGAAAGUGCUUUACAACCCGAAGGCCUUCUUCACACACGCGGCAUGGCUGGAUCAGGGUUGCCCCCAUUGUCCAAUAUUCCCCACUGCUGCCUCCCGUAGGAGUCUGGGCCGUGUCUCAGUCCCAGUGUGGCUGAUCAUCCUCUCAGACCAGCUACGGAUCGUCGCCUUGGUGAGCCGUUACCUCACCAACCAGCUAAUCCGACAUAGGCUCAUCCGAUAGCGCGAGGCCCGAAGGUCCCCCGCUUUCCCCCGUAGGGCGUAUGCGGUAUUAGCCUGGGUUUCCCCAGGUUAUCCCCCACUACCGGGCAGAUUCCUAUGCAUUACUCACCCGUCCGCCGCUCGCCACCAGGGAGCAAGCUCCCCGUGCUGCCGCUCGACUUGCAUGUGUUAGGCCUGCCGCCAGCGUUCAAUCUGAGCCANAGAUACAACUCUCGA